GUGGGGAAUAUUGGGCAAUGGGCGGAAGCCUGACCCAGCGACGCCGCGUGGGGGAAGAAGUCUUUCGGGAUGUAAACCCUUGUUGUACGGGACGAAGGAAGUGACGGUACCGUACGAGGAAGCCCCGGCAAACUACGUGCCAGCAGCCGCGGUAAUACGUAGGGGGCGAGCGUUGUCCGGAAUCACUGGGCGUAAAGCGCACGUAGGCGGGCUGUCAAGUCGGCCGUGAAAGGCACGGGCUCAACCUGUGCAUGUCGGUCGAUACUGGCGGUCUGGAGUAUGGGAGAGGGAACUGGAAUUCCCGGUGUAGCGGGGAAAUGCGUAGAUAUCGGGAGGAACACCAGUGGCGAAGGCGGGUUCCUGGCCCAUGACUGACGCUGAGGUGCGAAAGCCGGGGGAGCGAACGGGAUUAGAUACCCUGGUAGUCC
rnacentral:rRNA from 1 species